AUUGAACGCUGGCGGCAUGCUUUACACAUGCAAGUCGAACGGCAGCGGGGUAGUGCUUGCACUACUGCCGGCGAGUGGCGAACGGGUGAGUAAUAUAUCGGAACGUACCGAGUAAUGGGGGAUAACCAAUCGAAAGAUUGGCUAAUACCGCAUACGUCCUAAGGGAGAAAGCGGGGGAUCGCAAGACCUCGCGUUAUUCGAGCGGCCGAUAACUGAUUAGCUAGUUGGUGGGGUAAAGGCCUACCAAGGCGACGAUCAGUAGCGGGUCUGAGAGGACGAUCCGCCACACUGGGACUGAGACACGGCCCAGACUCCUACGGGAGGCAGCAGUGGGGAAUUUUGGACAAUGGGGGCAACCCUGAUCCAGCCAUGCCGCGUGUAUGAAGAAGGCCUUCGGGUUGUAAAGUACUUUUGUUAGGGAAGAAAAGGGAAGUGCUAAUACCACUUUUUGCUGACGGUACCUAAAGAAUAAGCACCGGCUAACUACGUGCCAGCAGCCGCGGUAAUACGUAGGGUGCGAGCGUUAAUCGGAAUUACUGGGCGUAAAGCGAGCGCAGACGGUUACUUAAGCAGGAUGUGAAAUCCCCGGGCUUAACCUGGGAACUGCGUUCUGAACUGGGUAGCUAGAGUAUGUCAGAGGGGGGUAGAAUUCCACGUGUAGCAGUGAAAUGCGUAGAGAUGUGGAGGAAUACCGAUGGCGAAGGCAGCCCCCCUGGGAUGAUACUGACGUUCAUGCUCGAAAGCGUGGGGUAGCAAACAGG
rnacentral:rRNA from 1 species